UUAUAUAUUAGAUAAAAUUUUCAAUUUGCAAUUGAGGUUAAUGUUGAAGAAUGGUAUACACGUUACAUGAACAUUGUUUUACAAUUAGCACAUAAUUCCAAAACACAUUACAUUGAAAAAUGUUUUACAAAUGUUUUGUUUGUUUCAUAAUUUCCCAAUACAAAGAAAAAAAUUGCACAAGCCUUUCACAAAUCGCAUCAGCCAUCAUCCUUUUUGGAGCAUGCCUCAUGCCAUCCAUCAUCAAACAUUAACUUGCAAUAACUUUGUAUGCUCUUUCAUUUUUCAUCAGGUCAGACCACGAGGUCUCCAUUAGCUCCAAGUCGUUCACAUGUGUGCGGAAGAGAGACAAAAAGAAUAAGUCAGAGGUAACUCCAUAAAAAAAACUAUAGGAUAACAUGUACAUGAUCCUUUAAAAGUGGCAUAAAAGAGUCAACAAGCAAUUACAGGACUAUCCUAUGACAAAAACUCAUAUACCAAUAUCCAACUUAAUUUCAGCAAAAAAAAAAACAUACGUACAUAACAGAUAGGGACCACCACCACUAAGAAAAGGUUUUAACAUAAAAUUGGCAAUUUCACUACCCUGAAAAAUUCCACAAAAUCAGGGAUUUUGCGGAAAAUCUCACAGCGGUUUGAUUGCACCAAAAAGCAACAACUCAUCCAUUUCUAACAAACUCCCACGAGAUAAGAAAUUCUCACACGUACUCAAAUUAAAAAUCUCAACCUAUAAAGACGUUAUUGUUUUAUUUCACAAGGAGGAAUACCCUAUGGAAACGCUACCAAAUCCAAUUCCAAAAACCUCACUAAAAGCUUAGGACUAACAAAUUACUCGGAGUUUCUCAUUCAAACUUUGAGAUAAUUCGAGCUAAACCUAAACCUAAGACACACAACAGCAAGGUUCGAAAAGAAAAGAGAUGAGGAGCAGGACAUUUAAAAGCGGAAAAGAGCGAAAAAAGACUUAUCUAUUUCACUGGAGAUUCCCUUGGAUUAGCUCUGAUUUGGUAAGUUCUUGUUCUUUUCUUCAAUCCUUCUGCACUAGCUCUGUCGCCAUGUGAUUUAGAUCGAAACCCCUACGAUGACUUCCUUAAACUCGGGCUAAUUAUACCCUAAUUUAAAAAUUAGGGUUUCCUUUUUGUCGUUCUUCUUUCUUUGAAUUAGGUUCCGAUUAGUGUUUGUAUGGGUAUUUAGAGUAGUUUUUUCUUGAGUGGUUUUGUUUUAAUGGUUUUGGUUAUGAGAUUUUGUUGAGCUUUGAUCCGGAUUUUUUAGGAGGAUUUGGGUGAAAUUAAAGUCAGAUUUAGAUAGUGGGGAAGAAAUGAGGGGGCGGGGGGGGGGGGUAGUGUUUUAGGUUUUGGAUUUAGGGAUGGUGGCUCGCCUGAGAAGAAGGUGGUGUUGUCGUCCCUGGCCGUCAACCUCCAUCUUCUCCAGCGAAGGAGCAUCGGAGAAAUAGGACGAGGAAUUGCAGAGCUUGGGACAUUCUAACGAAGAGGGAGAAACUUUUUGAGAAAUGAUUUGGUUUUGUUUGAUAUUGGGAGAUUUAAUGUUUUU
rnacentral:lncRNA from 1 species